rnacentral:rRNA from 1 species
CUCCUACGGGAGGCAGCAGUUGGGAAUCUUGCACAAUGGGGGAAACCCUGAUGCAGCGACGCCGCGUGGAGGAUGACGGAUCUAGGUCUGUAAACUCCUUUUUCAUGGAAAGACUUAGGACGGUACCAUGAGAAUAAGGACCGGCUAACUACGUGCCAGCAGCCGCGGUAAGACGUAGGGUCCAAGCGUUGUCCGGAUUUACUGGGCGUAAAGAGCGCGUAGGCGGUCUGUUAAGUGUGAAGUGAAAUCUCCAGGGCUCAACCCGGAAACUGCUUCGCAUACUGGCAGACUUGAGGAAUGCAGAGGUUUGUGGAAUUCCUGGUGUAGCGGUGAAAUGCGUUGAUAUCAGGAGGAACACCCAUGGCGAAGGCAGCAAACUGGGCAUUAUCUGACGCUGAGGCGCGAAAGCGUGGGUAGCAAACAGGAUUAGAUACCCUGGUAGUCCACGCCCUAAACGAUGGAUACUAGGCGUAAGAGGUAUCGACCCCUCUUGUGCCGCAGCAAACGCAUUAAGUAUCCCGCCUGGGGAGUACGGCCGCAAGGUUGAAACUCAAAUGAAUUGACGGGGACCCGCACAAGCGGUGGAGCAUGUGGAUUAAUUCGAUACUAACCGAAGAACCUUACCCAGGUUUGACAUCGAUUGUAAGCUCUAGAGAUAGGGCCCUCCCCCACAAGGGGACAUGAAGACACUUGUUGCAUGGCUGUCGUCAGCUCGUGCCGUGAGGUGUACGGUUAAGUCCGCCAACGAGCGCAACCCUCGUCCUGUGUUACCAGCGAGUAAAGUCGGGGAACUCACAGGA